AUACGUAGGGGGCGAGCGUUGUCCGGAAUGAUUGGGCGUAAAGGGCGCGUAGGCGGCCCGGUAAGUCUGGAGUGAAAGUCCUGUUUUUAAGAUGGGAAUUGCUUUGGAUACUGUCGGGCUUGAGUGCAGGAGAGGUAAGUGGAAUUCCCAGUGUAGCGGUGAAAUGCGUAGAGAUUGGGAGGAACACCAGUGGCGAAGGCGACUUACUGGACUGGAACUGACGCUGAGGCGCGAAAGUGUGGGGAGCAAACAGGAUUAGAUACCCUGGUAGUCCACACUGUAAACGAUGAAUGCUAGGUGUAGGGGGUAUCGACCCCUUCUGUGCCGCAGUCAACACAAUAAGCAUUCCGCCUGGGGAGUACGGCCGCAAGGUUGAAACUCAAAUGAAUUGGCGGGG
rnacentral:rRNA from 1 species